GCCGCAAAAACGUGUCCAUCCAGAGACAGACCCGCAACAGCGACGGGCUGGGGCCUGCAGAGGCACCGGUGGCCUCCGGCCUCAGUUUCUCCCACCGCCCGGCAGCCGAAGUCCCUGAGCACGCCCCGCCCCGCCCCGCCCCGCCCCGCGGCCCUCACCAUCUUCCUAUGGAGACACUUCCGCCGCUGCACAGCCGCUCGCGCUCCGGUCGGCGGCCCGCCGCGCGCCACCAGCUGAAAGGGACUGACAGAGACUCCGACCAAUCAGAGAGGGGCCCAAGGGGCACUCAUCCAAUUGGCGUGGAGUAGGGUGGUGCCUGCGGAGCGCGACGGCCGAGCACGCCGUAUUCCCACCGUGGGAUUGAGGGGGCGGCCGUAAAGUGCGUCGUUGGAGAGACGCAAAGAGCCGCGGCGCGCUUCAGGUGUACGCUGGGAAAUAGCGCCUGCGCAGACGUGAGCUGUGGGUCGGGUUGGGCGCCACAGCGUGGACGAAGCUGGUUAAUGCGUGUGCAGCGCGAGAGGCUGGGAAUCCAGCCUGCUUGCCCACCUUCGCGCUCCCGGCCUUCCAUCUAAGCCAAGCGGAGCCCUUGAGCGCCAACGGCAGGCCCAGCCGCUUCCCAGCCACAGGAAUGGGGAACACAGGGCCGGACUCUGGGCAGCCGAAGAUGAUCCUGAGGUCCCAGCACGGUCCGCUUGUAAUGAGCGUAGUAGAAGAAGCCUUUUAGACAUGUAGAAACAGCUUAGCAGGAGCCCCCGACACCAAGGCUGCACCCAGGGCCCAGAACCGCCGCGUGAGUCCUAGAGCCCACGAUGCCCGUGGGCAGCCUGUAAGCAGAGCCCGAGAGCGAUCGAUGCUCUGCACACCUAGAGAGAUGCCGCCUUGAUCUGCCCAGCAGCAUCUCCCCAAGAUCCUGACCCUGUUAGAGCCUGGACCUGACCUUCAGCAAAGACGUUGCACAGGUGGCCCCGGCUGAGGCGUGGGUGGGGGUUCCACAGAAGGGAAAGGAACACACCCCAAAGACUGGGAGCUGCAGUGAGUACAGCUGGAGAGUGAGGAAAACUGGUAAGUGUAAAUGAAAAAGCAGACACGUAAAAACUCUGUGAACAGUGUAAAAGGUAAGUAUGGGCCAAGGAACAGAUGUUUGUAUGUUUACUUAAAGUUAUCUUAAAGGCUAGAGAUACCAAAGUAGGACAUCAGCAACUGUGUAAAUUUUUAGUAUUUGUAGAGAUUUGUCCUUGGUUUCCUGAGCAGGGUACCUUGGAUGCAGAUGCUUGGAGACUUACUGGAGUUAAGAUACUGCAGUGUUGUGAUAAGCCUGGUCCAGAAAAACUUCCAGUGGAUGUUUUUAGUCUCUGGACACUUAUUCAUAACAGUUUAGAUCUUCAUCCUGGCAACCAGAAAAUGUUUCCUGAAUCAAGUAAAAUGGAAACCAGGCAUUCUGCUCUGUCAGAGGGACCACUUUAUGCAGAUGCUUUCAUAAAAUUAUCUGAUGAUAGUGGCCAGAGGAGCCUGGUAAUGAGGCAGAAUUAGAGGAAGAGGCUGCUGAGUAUUGUGACGGAGAUUCUCCCCACCUCCACUCCUGCCUGCGAAUGGUUCCUAGUGAGAGAUUAAGCGGGUUGUGACUGCAAACCCUUAACCCAGAGCCUCACUUUCAGAUCUGUUCAUGGCAAGCCGGUAAGUGUAAAUGUGAGCACUCUUUGUAUUGCUCUGUGCUCUGUUACUAUGUUACUGUCCUGUUCCACGUGGUUUAGGGGACCGGCUUCCCGGACUGAACUGGGAUAAGCAGGUAGCUCCUGCCGGGUGGUGGCUUGUAUACUGCCAGAGAAGCCAUUUGUUAGAUGGGACUGGCUAACCGCGGGUGAGGUCCUUGUCUCAGUGCUGAUGUACCCGUAUUUGGUUGUCCGUGUAAGAGUUACUUGUUUCUGUCUACUAACCUCCCUCAUUUUCCUCGAAGAGGCGGAGAGAAAGGCGUGGCAAGGCCACCUCCCACGGUCUUGCUCUGAGCCCACAGCAUGAGUGGAGCUGGUCUUGGCCAGCAGGGCGAAGCCCGCAGCCAGCCAGCAGCUCUUGGAGUGGGAGGGUGUACAUUCUCGGAGCAGGAAGGGCAGAGAUGGGAGCUACCGGUGAAGCGGCGGGGAGUUUACAGUCUACAACUGAUGAGCUGUUCUGAAAGCUGAACAGAGAGUCUGAGGUUAAUUGUUAGUUAUUAUAGUUAGAGGAGUUAAAAACUUCCCCCAGCAACACUGGCAGCCAAGGGCACACUCUGUGCCCACAUCCCCUCCCUCCCUUCCUAAGCCAAUUUCUACUUCCCUAUGAUAACUUCAAGGUCUCUCCUGGCCAGCAGCUUCCCUCCUUAACCCUUCUCUGUCCCGAUACUGCUUGAGGAAAAUGUUAAAUUACCAGCCUGCAUACACUGAAAAGCUUUGACUUUAGAACAAAAGUCAAGGAUACAUUAUGUCUGGGAGAAAUUAUGCUUUUGCUUCCACAGGAAAAGAAAAAUUACAUGGAUUUUUGGUCAUUUGAGUUCAAUGGGUUACAAAUACUUUUCAUCAUUUAAGAGAAUUUAUUGCAAAUUAUUAUUGGUUAAGAUAAAAAAAACUUGCUAAUCUCAAAUGCCUCACAUUGCUAGAGGUUUUUAUAUAUUAAUACAAACAAAUUUUUUCCUAUGAUAGAUACAAAUAUCUAUAUGUUUCUAUUCUUGUUUGAAAUGUUAUGUAAUGUUCUAAACUGCUGGGAAGAAACCACAAGAAGGACUUUGAUGGAAAUUUGCAUGUUGUCUGAAAAGCAAGAGAAGGCGAAAGACUGGACUAGCGGAAGGAAGAAAGGACGUGUACAUGUCUGGCUGAUGCAGAAGAGCAGACACAGAAAGGCCUGACGCGGAGGUAUAUGGGAAGUUGGAGAAGGCCAGAGGAGAUGUGAACUAUGCUGAAUUUUAAGGGAAAUUGAGAACCUUGGGACCAAGGACUGUCAGCUGGAAUUUGGUAAUCCAGAACUGCAUCUCCACAAAUUUAUGUUUGGAAACUUGCUGUGAUGGGAACAGUGGCAGGAAACUCCAGUCACUUGAAACCUGUUUGUCCUUUGAAAGGAACUGUGUUAGCGUGUGUUGAAAAGCCCUAUGUUCUUUUAGUUGGUGAUGCCAGCCAGAGGUACAUCGAGACAGAAAAUGAAAUGGCCUGUUCCUAGA